CCGGAAAACAAGUUCGAACUGGUCUUCGAUGGCAAGCGCGAUGGUCCCCAAUUGGACAGACUCUUUGCAAAGAAAGUUGAGGUUGAUUGGAACUUUGAUCUCGAGCACAUCU
rnacentral:ribozyme from 1 species